UACGUAGGGUGCGAGCGUUGUCCGGAAUUAUUGGGCGUAAAGAGCUCGUAGGCGGUGUGUCGCGUCGGUCGUGAAAACUUGGGGCUUAACCCUGAGCUUGCGGUCGAUACGGGCAUCACUGGAGUUCGGCAGGGGAGACUGGAAUUCCUGGUGUAGCGGUGAAAUGCGCAGAUAUCUGGAGGAAUACCGGUGGCGAAGGCGGCAUCCUGGACCGGCAUUGACGCUGAGGAGCGAAAGCUAGGGGAGCAAACGGG
rnacentral:rRNA from 1 species